rnacentral:tRNA from 1 species
GUGGUGGUAGCUCAGUGGUAGGGCUCCCGCUUCGUGGGCGGGGAGACCUGGGUUUGAUUCCCGGCUGCUUUC